GGUAGUAAACGAUGGAAUGAAUGAAUGAGAACUGAGAGGGAAACUAAUAGAAAUGAUACUUUGCUCUUGGGCCUUCAACUCUUCCUAGUUUAUACAACCUCAUUUUCAGUAACACUGGGUGUGCGGAUAUUUAGCACCGUGCAGCUCGUUCUGCUCAGAUGAAUAUGGAAGUGACAUUUGGCAUCCUGACCUCUGAUAUUUCUGGAACGAGUUCAGCACAGUCGUUCUCGACGGCUAACGGGAUUAAUUGCUGUGGCAUAUAACGAUUCUAAGGCCAGAGCCAAGUCAUAUAAGAGAGCUACCUGAAGUAAGAUGUCAGUUUUGUCAUCGCUCCUUUAUCUCCGAAAUUUGAAUUGGUGGGUUAUAGAUGGUGAUACAGCACUAUAAAGUCACAAGAACACCAUUAUCCCGGAUACGUCGCUCCCCUAAUGCCGAUCUACUCAUUGUACCUUGAUUCCGUCCAUCUCGCCGACGACCCCUUGUCAUCAGUCGUAUUUAUUGAGCGCUUACUGUGUGCAGUCCUCAUCCUCCCCGUGGCUGGGAACUCCUUCCUCCUUCAGGUGCGACCAGCCACCACUCUCCCCACGUUCAGAGUCCCAUCAAAACCGCCCGCCCUCCGAGAGGCCUUCCAAGAGUCUCCUCUCACGCCGUCGGGUCGUCUCCGACCCGUAGCGACGCCGGGGACGCCUCUCUCCCGGGCCCAACUGCUUCCAUCUGCGACGGUCCUGGGAGCGUAUCCGUAGAGGCUUUGUGGUAAAAAUAGGGAAGUGGUUCACCGUCAUCUUCUUCCGCGCGGGCAACUUGAGUCUCUCCCGUGCCGCCGCUGCGCAGCACGGGUGAGCUUCGACUUGUAGCGGAUCGUCUUCCACUUUCUAGCCACUGGCCAAGCUAGGAAUGGAACGGACUGCAAAUUUUCUGUGGAGAGAGACCGUGUUUACCCACUCUGUAUUCUCCCAAGCGCUUAGUUCAGCGCUCUGCACAGGCGAAGACUCAACAUUAACACCACUGGGUUGAUGGAUGCGAUCGCAACGACGGAAGAAACCGUAGUGUACACGCCUGUCACGGUGUGUCUACUGUUUUGUGGUUUUUCUCAAUAUGGGAUUAAGGGCAACAGAAGUCUUGGGUUAGAGGAGAAUCGAAUCAACGCCAAAACAGUGACUAGGAAAAAAAAGGGAUCUGGAUGGGAGACCUACUGUACAGAUAGAAUAUCAGAGCAAAGAACAGGUAGAAGAAUAAUAAAAUAAUAAGAUUUAAAGAGCAUUUGCCAACUGCCUUUAAUUCAAUAGCAAUCCUAGCGCUUCCUGACAACGCAUCUAAUUGACGAGAAUUUGUGCCGCAGUUUCACAUCCAAAAGCCAAAGAAUGGGUAGUUAAAAAAAAAAACUGUGAAGAAACAGAACAAAAAUCUACAUUACCUUAUAAUGCGAGAGCGUAAGUCUUUUCAAUUGUGAACUAAAGGGCGAUCCCAAGCGCCUAGUACAGUGCUCUGCACACAGUAAGCGCUCAAUAAAUACGAUUGAAUGAAUGAAAUGAAUGAAUAUUUACAUUCUUGUCACUAAAUGCUGUAACAGCACACUGAUACUGACCUAGAAAAUGUACAAUAUCGUACUAGGGUUUUAGAGUGUUUACAAUAUAAAAAGUAAAUUAUUUCAAGACAGAAGGUGUUUGUAAAUGUCACCCGUAUUAUUGCAACAAAUUACAGAUAAAUACUGUGGGGGAGAGCAUAUAGCUGCCCAUCACUUUAGAUACUACAACCGAGGAAAUGAAGUGAUAACACUUUA